AAGAUUUUAAGUUAAAAAAACUAUUUACCUUCAAAGUAAAAAUUAUUCCACAUAAAUCUUA
rnacentral:tRNA from 1 species